AUUGAACGCUGGCGGCAGGCCUAACACAUGCAAGUCGAGCGGAGCGGCGGUCGGGUGAGUAAUGCCUGGGAAUCUGCCUGGUAGUCGUGGCUAACGUCCGGAAACGGCCGCUAAUACCGCAUACUAUCAGAUGAGCCUAGGUCGGAUUAGCUAGUUGGUGGGGUAAAGGCCUACCAAGGCGACGAUCCGUAACUGGUCUGAGAGGAUGAUCAGUCAACCGGGAACUGAGCCACGGUCAAGACCCCUACGGGAGGCAGCAGUGGGGAAUUUUGGACAAUGGGGGAAAGCCUGAUCCAGCCAUGCCGGGUGUGUGAAGAAGGUCUUCGGAUUGUAAAGCCUUUUAAGUUGGGAGGCGGUACCAACAGAAUAAGCACCGGCUAACUACGUGCCAGCAGCCGCGGUAAUUC
rnacentral:rRNA from 1 species